rfam:Berkelbacteria bacterium GW2011_GWA2_46_7 TX60_C0001, whole genome shotgun sequence.
GCCACCUUAGCUCAGCGGCCAGAGCGGCUCUUUUGUAAAGAGCGGGUCCCGAGUUCGAAUCUCGGAGGUGGCU